ACUCCUACGGGAGGCAGCAGUAGGGAAUCUUCCACAAUGGGUGCAAACCUGAUGGAGCAAUGCCGCGUGAGUGAAGAAGGUCUUCGGAUCGUAAAGCUCUGUUGUUAGAGAAGAACACGUGCUAGGUAACUACUAGCGCCUUGACGGUAUCUAACCAGAAAGUCACGGCUAACUACGUGCCAGCAGCCGCGGUAAUACGUAGGUGACAAGCGUUGUCCGGAUUUAUUGGGCGUAAAGGGAGCGCAGGCGGUCUGUUUAGUCUAAUGUGAAAGCCCACGGCUUAACCGUGGAACGGCAUUGGAAACUGACAGACUUGAAUGUAGAAGAGGAAAAUGGAAUUCCAAGUGUAGCGGUGGAAUGCGUAGAUAUUUGGAGGAACACCAGUGGCGAAGGCGAUUUUCUGGUCUAACAUUGACGCUGAGGCCCGAAAGCGUGGGGAGCGAACAGGAUUAGAAACCCCAGUGUCCCAUG
rnacentral:rRNA from 1 species